AUUGAACGCUGGCGGAAUGCUUUACACAUGCAAGUCGAACGGUAGAGGGGGCAACCCCUCGAGAGUGGCGAACGGGUGAGUAAUAUAUCGGAACGUGCCCAGUCGUGGGGGAUAACGUAGCGAAAGUUACGCUAAUACCGCAUACGAUCUAAGGAUGAAAGCGGGGGAUCGCAAGACCUCGCGCGAUUGGAGCGGCCGAUAUCAGAUUAGGUAGUUGGCGGGGUAAAGGCUCACCAAGCCAACGAUCUGUAGCUGGUCUGAGAGGACGACCAGCCACACUGGACCUGAGACACGGUCCAGACUCCUACGGGAGGCAGCAGUGGGGAAUUUUGGACAAUGGACGCAAGUCUGAUCCAGCCAUUCCGCGUGCAGGAUGAAGGCCCUCGGGUUGUAAACUGCUUUUGUACGGAACGAAAAGGUCUCUCUUAAUACGGGGGACUCAUGACGGUACCGUAAGAAUAAGCACCGGCUAACUACGUGCCAGCAGCCGCCGUAA
rnacentral:rRNA from 1 species